rnacentral:misc_RNA from 1 species
GCAAACUUGGUCAUUUAGAGGAAGUAAAAGUCGUAACAAGGUUUCCGUAGGUGAACCUGCGGAAGGAUCAUUAAAAAGUUGAAUUAUCCUGCUUAAACUUAUAUGGAUAAUAAAUCCAUAUUCACUUCGUGUGCAUCCAUCGACCGUAUACUUUGACAGAUGGUUUCUUUCUUGGUUUGAUCUCAGAAAGAUGCGGAGAUAUUCGAAUCUAUCUCCAGGGUCUGUCAAAGUUUUUCUCCCGAAUCCUUUAAAUUCUGAAAACCCUUGAAUUGCGAAUAAAUCCAAUACAAAUACAACUUUCAACAACGGAUCUCUUGGCUCUCGCAUCGAUGAAGAACGCAGC